UAGGGAAUCUUCGGCAAUGGACGGAAGUCUGACCGAGCAACGCCGCGUGAGUGAAGAAGGUUUUCGGAUCGUAAAGCUCUGUUGUAAGAGAAGAACGAGUGUGAGAGUGGAAAGUUCACACUGUGACGGUAUCUUACCAGAAAGGGACGGCUAACUACGUGCCAGCAGCCGCGGUAAUACGUAGGUCCCGAGCGUUGUCCGGAUUUAUUGGGCGUAAAGCGAGCGCAGGCGGUUAGAUAAGUCUGAAGUUAAAGGCUGUGGCUUAACCAUAGUAGGCUUUGGAAACUGUUUAACUUGAGUGCAAGAGGGGAGAGUGGAAUUCCAUGUGUAGCGGUGAAAUGCGUAGAUAUAUGGAGGAACACCGGUGGCGAAAGCGGCUCUCUGGCUUGUAACUGACGCUGAGGCUCGAAAGCGUGGGGAGCAAACAGGAUUAGAUACCCUGGUAGUCCACGCUGUAAACGAUGAGUGCUGGGUGUUAGACCCUUUCCGGGGUUUAGUGCCGUAGCUAACGCAUUAAGCACUCCGCCUGGGGAGUACGACCGCAAGGUUG
rnacentral:rRNA from 1 species